rnacentral:misc_RNA from 1 species
UGUCCUCGGUAUUCAGUGCCACCAG